CUCUUUUAUUUUUUCUUUCUUUCUCUCUAUUCCACCGACAGCGGACCCCGCCGCCUCCUUCCACCUCCCGAUCGGUCUCCUGUUCGUGGACGACAGCACCGCCACUGCCGCACCAAACCCCGCGUGAUUCACGCGACCCCUUGCUCAUCUUCCAAUCUGAGGCCGCCGUGUGGUUCCUCUCGAAUCCCUCGAUCAGUCCUCACAGGCGCCACUUCGUUUUCCCCUAGGAAUCGAGCGUAAGGACCUCGCCAAGCUCCGCCGACUCCGGCGACUCUGACGAACGAUUUCGGCCACUCUAGUAAGCCCGGCCCCUCUCCGAGCACUCCAUAGUCUGCGAGGAAACCUCAUGCACCCCCUCCGCUUUGAUUUUGCCCAGGACCGCACCACAUCGAGCUCCUCAACAAAUCCUGAUCUCACCGGAGUAUUGCCCUUGCCGGAGCUUCCUCGAACGAUUCCGUCGCCUCUGAACACGGGAUAUCGAGCUCCCGAUCACACCCAAAAUCGCCAGCACCACCGAGCGACGGCGGGCCAGCAGCGGACGCUCCCAUCUCCGUUGAAGCUACCAUCGUCUCCGUCAUCGCAAGCCGCAUCCGCCCUUCACCUCAUCUUCACCGGAGAGCCACCGAAGGGCGCCACCACCCACGCCCGAAGCCGUCGUCGUUUUUCCCCUGCCUCAGUGAGCACGCACGCACAGCUACAUCUCAGCCAAUCUGCAUGUGACACAUGGCGCUAUGCUAUAGUAGCCGCAGUUCAAAAUCAUGUUUUUAGACAGAUUUUCACCAAUUUUUCGUUUAGCUAUAUCUCUUGGUCUGUAUAUACAAAUUCAUUGAUUCUUUCUCCUGUGUACUCGUAGCGACGAGGAGAAUACAGUAGAACCAAAAUUUCACAUGUUUGAACUGCUCAAAUUUGAAUUUAUUCAAAUUCGAAUUCAUCC